rnacentral:rRNA from 1 species
AUGGACGUCGCGGACGUGCGGGGGGUGCUGCUGUACCGGGCCGGGCUGGUCACGGCCGCCGCGUCCGUCCUGGUGGCCACCUCGAGGGCGUUCCUGCCCGAGGCGAACACUGUCGGCGACGCUGUCCGGCAGGGCGCCGACCUCUUCUACGCCGUCGGGGCCGAGGGGGCUCACUUCCCCCUCCACACGCAGUUCACCGUCCUCAGCCACGUGCUCUCGGCGCGCUCCAAGUUUGCAGCCAGAAUCACCGAAGAGCCAGCGAUCCAGGACAUCGACAAGCUUGACGGUGACAACCAGCUCGCCGUCGUCGACUACAUCGAGGAUAUCUACAAAUUCUACAAAGUCGCCGAGGGACUACAUGGACUCCCAGCGGAGAUCAACGCCAAGAUGUGGGGCAUCCUCAUCGACUGGAUCCUGGAAGUGCACCAGAAGUUCGACAUGAUGCCCGAGUCGCUGUAUCUCACGGUGUAUAUCAUCGACAUGUACCUGUCGCUGCAGUCCGUGCUCCGGCGGGAGCUGCAGCUGGUGGGCGUCUCCGCCCUACUCAUCGCCUGCAACUACGAGGAGAUUUGGGCUCAUGAGGUGAAUGAUUUCAUCUUGAUCUCCGACAGCGCAUACACCCGGGAGCAGAUUCUGAAGAUGGAGAAGGCCAUCCUGAACAUGCUGGAGUGGAACCUGACGGUGCCCACGCCCUACGUCUUCCUCGUCCGUUUCACCAAGGUCGCAUGCUCCUCCUCCUCCGAUCAGAAGCACGAUAAGGAGUGCGAACACGGAUCAGUUGCUGCUAUAAACCCAACAAUUCGGAGGAGGAAUGCACGAGAAGCGAGUCCCCCAGUGAUGCCAAGACCUGAUGAAGCCAUGAUGCUUACCUCGCUGGAGCGUAUCAACCCUGGCCAUGGUACCACAUUCUUAGUCAUGAGAUGCCUUUGUUCAGCCUCUACAAACAAGAGCUCCAACCUGAAAGUGAAGAAAGCGGAAGUAUACUUGUAG